rnacentral:lncRNA from 1 species
CAGACUGCUGCCCGCUGGCUGGCUAGGUCGCUCUAUUAAUGCAGCUCUCAGUCCUCACCAAAGAAGAGUUUUCCAGUGGACAAGUUAAUACAGAGAUUCACAACUGGCUGACAAGCAAAGAAUAUCUGAUUAUGGAAUGCCUAGUUCCUAAAGAAACAUCUGUGCUAACCCAACCCCACCACCAAGGCUUAGGGACCAUCAAGGAAAACAGGGCCGGAAGUUGGGCAGAGGGACUGCACUGAAAUAUCCUGGGGAAGAGGGAAGAGCUCAUGAGUUCUCAUCCAUCCCUGAAGGAUUAUUGACAGUUGAUGGUGACUGGGGGAAGAAUGUCACUUUCUUCAGUGGUGUGACUACAGAUGAGCUGUUCAUGCUUCAGUGUAGGGGAAACCUUACCCAUGCCUACUAGGGACUGCCUACAGGUAUGCCUGUGAUCAGGGUGACAUAGUGAAGGUUUAAGAGUGAGGGGAAAGCACAUGAAACUCCCUUUCCUUUUCAUCAUUGGCUUGCUGUACUUACUCCUGCCCUGCCAGCUGGCUAGGUCACUCUGUAAGUAAGUCUUUUCCCUAAUAAAUACCCUUAUAUUUAACCUGACUCAGUAUUGGUAAAUUCCCACAUUAUUCUGGUGUCAGAAGCAGG